rnacentral:rRNA from 1 species
GAUGAACGCUCGCGGGAGGCCUAACACAUGCAAGCCGAGCGGUAGAGUUUCUUCGGAAACUUGAGAGCGGCGCACGGGUGCGUAACACGUGUGCAACCUACCUUUAUCUGGGGGAUAGCCUUUCGAAAGGAAGAUUAAUACCCCAUAAUAUAAUGAUUGGCAUCAAUUAUUAUUGAAAACUCCGGUGGAUAGAGAUGGGCACGCGCAAGAUUAGAUAGUUGGUGAGGUAACGGCUCACCAAGUCAAUGAUCUUUAGGGGUCCUGAGAGGGAGAUCCCCCACACUGGUACUGGGACACGGACCAGACUCCUACGGGAGGCAGCAGUGAGGAAGAUUGGACAAUGGGUGAGAGCCUGAUCCAGCCAUCCCGCGUGAAGGAUGACGGUCCUAUGGAUGGUAAACUUCUUUUGUACAGGGAUAAACCUACCCUCGUGAGGGUAGCUGAAGGUACUGUACGAAUAAGCACCGGCUAACUCCGUG